UACAGUGUACUCCAGCCUAGAUGACAGAGAAAGAUCCCAUCUCCAAAUUUUUAUUAAAACAAUUAAAAACUCCUAAUUUUUAUUGUUUUUUUUCCUAGUUCUUUGUGACUGAGAGGCAUUCUUCUUGGUGACCAACUCGUGUCUGUUAAUUUGUUCAUU